GUACUUGCUUCAGCAGCACAUAUACUAAAACUGGAAUGAUACAGAGAUUAGCAUGGCCCUUAAGUGCAAGGAUGACAUGCAAAUUCAUGAAGAAUUCCACAUUUUU
ensembl:snRNA U6 U6 spliceosomal RNA